AGUCUGCAGCGGAGGCGUCUGAUGUUAGGGCCAGAACUGAGCUCUCUGCUGUGAGUAUCCGGAUACAAUUUAUUCAUUUAUCGUUUAUGUGGGAAGUAAAUAGCAAUAGUGUAGGGAAGCCACAAAAGUUGAUACAAAUAAAAUCCUAGUCUUUUCUUUCAGUAAAGGGUUCUAACCAAUGCUGCUGUGAAAAAGCUGUGACUAUCUCUUGCCAAACAAAAUUCUGAGGCUGUAUGACUUUCUUAGGAGAGAUAGGCUGGCUUUAAUUGUGUGCUGUGUUUUGGCUAGAUAGCUGGUGGUCUUAAGUUUGGUGGAAUGCUUUUCUUCUGUCUUUGGUAGUUUUUGUUACAGGGAUCUGUGAAAAUGAAGAUCUUAUAUUAUUUUUGCCCUCUGAAAAAUAGCAUGUCAGUGAUCCAAAGGUCCCACAUGUGCAGGUGGGUGAGCGGCAGACAAACUAAGCGUGUGACCUUCCUAUUCGUAACCCUGGGUUGAGAGUGAAUGUCAUGCUGGCGAGAGGUUGUGAGACACGUCAGCCUCAAUUAUGAAGAACAGCCUUGAGUGCAUAGUUCAUAUUCUUUGGCGAAAGCAUCUCUGUGAAGCCAAUUAUCUAAGGAUGAAACACAGUCAGCCUGGGUUUAUCAAAAGAUUUCUGUAGAUCAACUCUCGUCUUUUCAGCCGACUGUGAGGUAAUGAUACAGAUGGAGAAAGAUUGUCAGCAGUUAGACGAGAGGAGGAAAUAAAUGCGGAAACCGAAAAGAAUCCUAAUUCUCCAGGUGACAGGAACUACACAAAAGCUGCCGUCCUCAGUGUGUACUUUUGUCAUCCUGGGUAGAGGAGUUGGCUUCCUGAGGUAUUUUUUUCCCUACGACAUAUUACCUCUGACAUAGGAGUGGGGGAAGAUGUUUCUGAUUUGACCUGCAUUAGUGAAAGAAACAACUGGAAAGUUCCAGUCAAAAUUAUCUGGAAGAGUCUAGCUCCUCAAGUCUUCUGAAUUGCGCAGAGUCAAGGUAGCUAAUCACCAGUCUACUCAGACUUGAUGAUUAAACAGAAUAAAAUCAGGUUACCAGCUUGUGGGGUGUGUGUGUGUGUGUGUGUGUGUGUGUGUGUGUGUGUGUGUGUGCGCACACCAUACACGCAUAUACACGUGAUCACAACUUUAAAAGGUCAUGUCAGCCAAGAGCUCAGUCUUAUCCUGAUGUGAUUUUAAUAUGGAUUUAAAAUUUUAAAUGUUAAAUAUAACUUUAGCUUGUUUAUCUGUUGGAACAGUUUUUGUGAGUUAGGUAGUUAUUGAUGGGGGGGGGGCAAAGCCAGGAGGCUUGGAUUAUUAUUCACUCUUGAGAUGUUUUUAUUUCCACCUUUAAAUCUUUUAGAGAAUUUGAGAUGGGUGACAUUUGGGUGGCACUGGAAAAUGAAAACUUUUUUUUUUCAUCCAUCUUUUUUAUUAAUAUAAUGUCUUUCUUUUUGUAAAUUCACUUGAGAAUUAGGGAUGCAAUGUGAUGUGGUUAUCUCAUUAUUCACAUUAGGGAAGUAAGGAAACUCUAAUUCACCCUGCUAUGGUGGUCAGAAAGGAGAUGGUCAAGUUUGGGCUGAGAUAUUACUGAGAAAAAUACCACUUCUUUAAUUUGUCAGCUUAUGAAACCUGGGUUAGAGAAAAUAAUACUGAAUUAGAAGGAAGAUGGGGGAUUAAGCUCUCUGCUUCUGAUCAGCCAUCCCUAGUUGUGGCAAAUGAGUUUACCUUAAACCAUGGACAUGAGUAAGCUUUAGCUUAGAUUUUAAAUUAAAAUUUUUUGGUAAGAAAGAAUAAUGUCUCUUUGGUUUGCAUCAGAGAAUUGUUGGAAGUGACGUAUAAAAAGUGCCUUCAAACUGUAAAGGCCAGUAGAAAUGUUGCCCUGGUCAUGACAAUAUGGUCACAAUUAAGCUUAACUAGAUUAACCAAAUGCUGUUAGGAAAAUGCCUUGUUUGCUUUCCCAUUCCUUGAUUUUCUUUAGCAUUCUGACUUCUCAACCUAUACAUUGCUGUCUUACAAAUGACCAUAUUGAGUGUUUCAGCCUGACAGCAGAUGCUAAAGGUGAGGUUAUGAGGGAAGUUGAAAAAGGCAUUUUGUCUUCUUGGUUAAUAUACAGUGUCACUGCCAACAGCUCUGCUUUUGCUUUUGGUUUCAUCAUAGCUUUUCUAUGGCCCAGUUCCUACUUUAAGGCAUGUCCCUUGGCCUCUUAAGCUUAGAUGCUCAAAGAAUUCCAUGGAAUCCCCUUUAUUGACUUAAAACCUGAAAGGUUGUGAAAUACUGUACUUGGAACUUUUAUUUUAUUUUGCUCAGUUUUUUUCAAGUGCAACCUUGAGGAGGCAAGUUUUUUUUUUUUUUUCUUCUUCUUCUUCUUCCAGUAUCUUCCUUUGGUAUAGCUCCAAGGCUCUUAAACUCUAGAUUGAGGUUUCUCUUUAGUUUCUCUUUAUUAUCUCACUGGGCUGAAUUUUGUGGAGUCCUCUUCUUUCACCUUGUUUAAGUAACUAGUAAGUGAAAGCUAUGCUUCCCUUUUUAAGCUCAUAACACAUGCCUAUAUGUGUAUAUGCCAAUCUCCCCUUACUUAUCGGGUAGGAUA
ensembl:lncRNA